AUGCAUCACUCAGUACUGGCAUCACUAAGUACUGGCAUCAUUCAGUACUGGCAUCACUCACCCGUUUAUGUUCUCUCUGUUUUCCCUGUGACUGACUGUCUGUCUGUCUGUUUGUCGCUCUGUCUAUUUGUCUGUCUGUCUGUCUGUCUGUCGCUCUGUCCAUCUGUUUCUCUGUCGCUCUGCCUGUCUGUUUGUCACUGUGUGUGGGUCUGUCUGUCUGCCAAAUACAUCAGUGUCUGUUCUAUUUGGGUUAUUUUGCAGCUUCAAAUAACACUCCCCCUCUCUCUCUCUCUCUCUCGCUCUCUCUCUCUCUCUCUCUCUCUCUCUCUGUCUCUCUCUCUCUCUCUCUCUCUGUCCUCAUGGUUCACUCUGUCUCUCUCGCUCUCUCUCUCUCUUUCUCUCUCUCUCUGUCCUUCUGGUUCACUCUCUCUCUCUCCCUGUCUCCCUGUCUCUCUCUCUCACUCUCUCUUUCUCUCUCUCUGUCCUUCUGGUUCACUCUCUCUCUCACUCUCUCUCUUUCUCUCUUUCUGUCCUUCUGGUUCACUCUCUCUCUCUCUCUCUCUCUCCCUGUCUCUCUCUGUCUCUCUCUCUCUCUCUCUCUCUGUCCUUCUGGUUCACUCUCUCUCUCCCUCUCUCUCUCUCUCUCUCUCUCUGUCCUUCUGGUUCUCUCUCUCUCUCUCUCUCUCUCUCUCUCUCUCUGUCUCUCUCUCUCUCGCUCUCUCUCUCUCUGUCCUUCUGGUUCACUCUCUCUCUCGCUCUCUCUUUCUGUCCAUCUGGUUCACUCCCUCUCUCUCUCUCUCACUCUCUCUCUCUCUCUCUCUCUCUCUCUCUCUGUCUCUCUCUCUCUCUGUUCUUCUGGUUCACUCUGUCUCUCUCGCUCUCUCUCUCUUUCUCUCUCUCUCUGUCCUUCUGGUUCACUCUCUCUCUCUCCCUGUCUCCCUGUCUCUCUCUCUCACUCUCUCUUUCGCUCUCUCUGUCCUUCUGGUUCACUCUCUCUCUCUCUCUCUCUCUCUGUCUCUCUCUCUCUCGCUCUCUCUCUCUGUCCUUCUGGUUCACUCUCUCUCUCGCUCUCGCUUUCUGUCCUUCUGGUUCACUCCCUCUCUCUCUCUCUCUCUCUCUGUCUCUCUCUCUCUCUCUCUCUCGCGCUCUCUCUCUCUGUCCUUCUGGUUCACUCUCUCUCUCUCGCUCUCUCUUUCUGUCCUUCUGGUUCACUCUCUCUCUCUCUCUUUCUGUGUCCUUCUGGUUCACUCUCUCUCUCUCUUUCUGUCCUUCUGGUUCACUCUCUCUCUCUCGCUCUCUCUCUCUCUCUCGCUCUGUCCUUCUGGUUCACUCUGUCUCUCUCUCAAUUCAAUUCAAUUCAAUUCAAGGGCUUUAUUGGCAUGGGAAACAUGUGUUAACAUUGCCAAAGCAAGUGAGGUAGGUAAACAAUAA
rnacentral:lncRNA from 1 species